rnacentral:tRNA from 1 species
GUCUCGGUAGCAGAGUUGGUAAUGCGCCUCGCUGUUAACGAGGAGAUCAGAGGUUCGAGUCCUCUCCGAGACG